rnacentral:ncRNA from 2 species
GCUGAUGAUGGGGAUGGGGCUCCCCGAUAACCGCCGUCGUGGCUGAUAACUCCUGCUGCAAC